rnacentral:rRNA from 1 species
AACGAACGCUGGCGGCAGGCCUAACACAUGCAAGUCGAGCGAGCGGCGGACGGGUGAGUAAUGUCUGGGAACCUGCCUGAUGGAGGGGGAUAACUACUGGAAACGGUAGCUAAUACCGCAUACCAUCAGAUGUGCCCAGACGGGAUUAGCUAGCAGGUGGGGUAAUGGCUCUUCUAGGCGACGCUCCCUAGCUGGUCUGCGAGGAUGACCGGCCACACUGGAACUGAGACACGGUCCAGACUCCUACGGGAGGCAGCAGUAGGGAAUAUUGGGAAAUGGACGAAAGCCUGAUGGAGCAAUGCCGCGUGUGUGAAGAAGGCCUUCGGGUUGUAAAGCACUUUGGUCGAAGAGGCGUUACUCGCAGAGGAAGCACCGGCUAACUCCGUGCCAGCAGCCGCGGUAAUAC